rnacentral:lncRNA from 1 species
CACAACAAUCCCAAUGUCAGCAGUGCCACGAGAUGAGACCCUCAGCCUUGAGAAACUGGAAAAGAUGAAGAGAGGAGAAAAUGAGCAGAGGGCACUGCCUGCUUAUGUCCAUGUGCUUCUUUUCCACCUCAGAAACAACACAGCAUCUUUUGUCGUCUUUGAUGCUGCCUCUCCCGUAUUGAUUACGCUUUAUUAUUCCUGAAGACUCGGGUGUGUGACGUAAGUAACCCUAUGUCGGACCCAAGCCCAGUAGGAUAAACGAAAACGGGAGGGCAAAUUGGAACAUGUACCGUAACAACGAGAGCAUUCUUUCUAUGACUUGAAAAAGUCUUCAGAUCCUUGGUUUAAUUUAAUCAGCAAUACGUUCAUCUGCAUAUGGCAUUUAGCAGCAAAGUAAACUUUUUUUCCUGAGUCAUUUGUUUCCAAAUCAGUGGGAACAAAGGAUAUCCCAGUUCCAUUCAAGCAGCUUCAAUGAUUCUCAAACAAACGUGGGAGUCAUAGCUGAGCCAUUUAAAAUAUACAGUGAUGAGAAAGCAUACUUGGUAAUCUUGUCAACAUUCCUUUAAGGAGAAUAUCCAAGUGUCCUUUUACUAUAAUAACGCUUUGUACUUUGAAAUGUUCAGAUGUCAAUAAAAUAGAAUUGAACACAACAGCCUAGAAGAAUGCCGUUUCCAAGUUUUCUAGUAAUGGUGCUGUGAAAACAGUAUGUAUUUUUCAGUUUAACACUCCGAAAAUCAAAUUUCCUCACCCCAAGAUUGGCUCCAUUUACACAAAAGCACUUUGGACCCAUAUUUAACCAACCAUCAAAAGUGAUUCAAAAGAAGGCUAAUUGAACACUGAGGUUUUUGAAGCUCUCAAAUGAUGACCCAGGUUUUUUCUUGAAAACACUCACAGCGGCAGCUUGGCAGGAAGCAGGAAUGAAACCUGCCCUCCAAACUGGAAGAAAAACUUCCAAUAACAAACUGCGAGGUUUGAGAUCACUGCAUGUUAUAUUAUUCAUUAUUCAAAUGGCCUCUAGCCCUAUUACACAGCCUUUUCUCUGGCGUCUGAGCUGCCCCAAGAAAUGUACUUUAGUAAGACCGAGCCCCCCUUUCAGAGGAAAGGAGAACCUCCUUAUCUCCGCUUUCUGCCUCCCUGUCUCUGCGUUCUAUCUGUUCUAUCUCUGUUCCAUCUGCGUGUUUUGCAAUCUCCUCAGUGUUCCAAAGGCCAAUGAAAUCUCUCUCCCACAGGGGCCAGCGAUGGCAGACCUCAACCAAAUAAAAGUUAUGCAAAGGCAAGCUGGAAAAUCUGCACAGGGGAGAUUUCACCAAGAGGAGAGGGGCCUGAUAUUUUCCGUCUAAAUCCUUAGGCCUCACUCCAGCCUACAAAGACAAGUGGCAGGAAACUUAACAGCGAUAAUCAAAUGAGCUCAGCCAGCCUCGGGAUGGUUCUUGUAAGAACUGUGUGUGUGGAGAAGGGAUGCAGGCUUUCUGCCCAGGAGAACCUAGAGAGAAAAAACUGCUCUUCCCAAAAUCCCUGAAGUCUGCUGCCAGGGGCUCAGUACAUGCCUGACCAAAAAGAGAAAACUGCCCACCUAACCGGUUCGGCUGUUUCCUGGCUACUACGGACAGAAGCAGACAGAACCUUAUCAUUUCAGUUAUGUCUAACUUGGACAUUAUUUUCAAGUAAAUAUUGGUAAUUUCAAGGCUCUUUCCUUGCCGUGUGACCUGGCGUGACGGACAAUGCUGUCUCCGAGGAAGCUGACUCCAUAGCAACAAGCCAGGGAAGCCUGCACCUUCCACCCAGGGGGCCUCCCAUGAGCAUUUUGGAGACUCGGGACUUUGCAGUUAUCUUGUCAGGGGGUGGCUGAGGGAAGAAGCUUCUUCCUUUGCCCUCUGGGCCCCUCCCAGCGGUCUGGGUUUCUGUGGAUCACUCUGUGCUUCUCAAUGAAUCCAGCGCUGGGCAUUUUUCUCUUUUCAUUCAGGAAGUGGUGAGCUGAGCCCUGAGAUUCUUUCUGCUCCGAUGAUAUAAACAAAUUGUAGAGGAAGUCAAGUCAAAUUUUCCCUUGCUGGUUUUGUUCUCCCAACUAGCAAUUCAGAAAACAGAGCCAACUUUUUUUUUUUUUUUUUUUUUUUUUUGGAUGCCCUUUAAAGAUUGCUGUUAACUGGAAAGACAAGAAACCCUUGUAG